rnacentral:rRNA from 1 species
UCGAAAGAGAGCCGUAACACAGGUGCUGCAUGGGCUGUCGUCAGCUCGUGUCGUGAGAUGUUGGGUUAAGUCCCGCAACGAGCGCAACCCUUGUCCAUUAGUUGCUACAUUCAGUUUGGGCACUCUAAUGAGACUGCCGGUGACAAGCCGGAGGAAGGUGGGGAUGACGUCAAGUCCUCAUGGCCCUUAUAGGUGGGGCUACACACGUCAUACAAUGGCUGGUACAAAGGGUUGCCAACCCGCGAGGGGGAGCCAAUCCCAAAAAGCCGCUCUCAGUUCGGAUUGCAGGCUGCAACUCGCCUGCAUGAAGCCGGAAUCGCUAGUAAUCGCGGAUCAGCAUGCCGCGGUGAAUUACCGGUUCCCGGGCCUU